rnacentral:rRNA from 1 species
GAAUCCCGUCCAUGACACGGACUACUAAUACUUUGUGAUACGCUCUCGAAGAGUCGAGUUGUUUGGGAAUGCAGCUCAAAAUGGGUGGUAAAUUCCAUCUAAAGCUAAAUACAGGCGAGAGACCGAUAGCGAACAAGUACCGUGAGGGAAAGAUGAAAAGCACUUUGGAAAGAGAGUUAAACAGUACGUGAAAUUGUUGAAAGGGAAACGCUUGAAGUCAGUCGCGUUGUGCAGAACUCAGCCUUGCCUCGGCUUGGUGUACUUUCUGUACAACGGGUCAACAUCAAUUUUGGCCCAUGGAGAAAGGUGGGGGGAAUGUAGCGCUGUUUCGGCAGCGUGUUAUAGCCCUCUAUUGUAUACAUGGGCUGGGAUUGAGGAUCGCAGCACGCCCUUGUGGCCGGGGGUUCGCCCUACGUACCGUGCUUAGGAUGUUGGCAGAAUGGCUUUAAGCGAC